rnacentral:lncRNA from 1 species
CAAUAAAGAGCCCCAAAAGGACCACUUCCAACAUCAAAAAGAAUAAAAUACUUAAGAAUAAAUUUAUCCAAGAAAGUGAAGACUUGUAUACUAAAAACUGCAAAAUAUUGUCAAGGGGAAUUAAAGAAACCAUAAAUAGAUGGAAAGAACUUCAUGUUUAGCUCAGCCGACGCUCUGCCAGUUGCCGCCGCCACCAAAAUGUCCACAGGUGUGCCUUCAGGAAGUUCCAAGUGCUGCUGCUGGCAGUAAUCGAAGACUCCAGCAGACACAAAAUCAAGUCAAUGAGGCUGGUACGUCUCAGUUUGAAACAAGGGCUGCCAAGUUGAAGAGAAAGUAUUGGUGGAAGAACUGCAAAAUGUGGGAGAGAUAGGGAUCAGUGUCCUGGUGAUUGUUGUCAACAUCAUCAUUGUGUGAUGUGUCUCUUAAUGAAGAACCCGGGAAACUGAAGCCCACUGUCAGGAGCGUCUUCGAGACUUUCUACUUAGAACCUGCUGUGUUAUCGAGCUUACUUACUGUUUUUUCCAAGUGAUUAUUUUUGCUAGUUUAUACACAGUUCAGUGCCUAGGAAAUGUGCCUUUGUUUUUACUGUACACUCCAGGUGGGCGUGUGACCCACCUUGCCUACAUUUUGCACAGUGCCUUUACAGAUUUUUGCACCAACUAGGGAAGAGGACUUCUGAUGUUCCAGAGUGCUGGAGUCUAGAUGGAUGCUGUCACAGAUGACUUGCUGUGGACUCCAGGAAGGGGACUUGUUCAAGUCAGCUGUCCCCACAUCUGACAUUGCCUUCAAAACCACAUUUUAAACCUUUGGGUGAUUAGAUUCCCAACUUGUGCCUUCCGAGAAGAACACUACUGCCUAGUACAAAUCGGUGACAAUAACAGGGUGUAACUUAUUUUGAUACUUGGCUCCUUUUCAUUAGGAGGACCCUCAUUUUUGUAAGCACUAUUGACCCUGCUGUAUUUAAGAUGCUCUCAUGUUAGGUAUCAAGAUGUUUGCUUUCUUGUUCUUGUGUAUCACUUCUGAAAGUAUUUUAAUCAAAAGUAACCCUUUCAAGUUUUUAUAGAACGAUGACCAAAGUUUCUCUUUUGCCAAAAGUUAAAUACAAAUAAAAUGUUCACAAGUCUGUCCCUCA